GACAGAGGAUGCAAGCGUUAUCCGGAAUUAUUGGGCGUAAAGAGCUUGUAGGCGGUUUGUCGCGUCUGCUGUGAAAAUCCGGGGCUCAACCCCGGACUUGCAGUGGGUACGGGCAGACUAGAGUGUGGUAGGGGAGACUGGAAUUCCUGGUGUAGCGGUGAAAUGCGCAGAUAUCAGGAGGAACACCGAUGGCGAAGGCAGGUCUCUGGGCCACUACUGACGCUGAGAAGCGAAAGCAUGGGGAGCGAACAGG
rnacentral:rRNA from 1 species